AGAUAUUUGCAGUUGAACUAUCUCAAGCACUUUUUAGGGGGAGGAUUCAUCAAGCAUAUGCAGGAAAAUGAGUUCCUUCAUGAUGUUUUUAAUUUGACCCCGAAGAAAAGAUAUCUUGGUGGCAAUGAACCCCGAAUGUCCAGUGGUGAAAAGAGAAUGUUCAAGUCUCCAAAUUCUGUUCAGAACAACGCAAAGACCCAAUUGCUUGAUAAACAAUGAUUGUUAUCUGUGGUAACCUUUCUUAACAUACAUAGAGAUCAUCAACUCUUACUUUCCUGUUUAAAAUGCAUGGUUACAAAUUGAUUACUUUAACUCUUAAGGUUACCUUCCUCAUAGGUUGACUUAUUUUUACCAACCAAUUCGUCUCCAUCUUUGC